AGUCGGGCCGCCCGCUUGCUGCACGGCAGCCGUGGGACUGGCACAGGCUCCUCGGCAGCAUUAUGGGCAGCUGGUAGAGCGGCCACUUCUGAGAGCCGGAUGGGCCUUCCGAGGUCGGGCCGUGCCCCGCUGGGCAGCGCAGAGGGGGUGUGUAGGGCACGCGACUUGGAGCCAGGUCCAGACCCAUCCUGGCUCCUCUCAGGGCUCCUUCCCCUGCCCCCAUUCCACCCCAGCCCUGCUGGCUGUCCCGCAGGACCCAGCGCCGCGGUAGCCUUCUCUGAACUGCGGCUCAGGCGGAGGUGUCACUCCUGCCUCCAGCCCAGGAGGGCAGGUCAGGUUAUGCAACGCGUGCCGCGCGAUCUCCCCCCACCUCCAACCCCCUUUUCUCCCGGGUCCACACCGCAGUUCCCACCGCUCCGGGUGUCCUCCCCAGUGCGCCGCGAUUUUUGUGUCCAAGCCCCAGAGUCCCUCUGAGACCAACCCCCAGCCAGCACAGACUUCCUGCCUU
rnacentral:lncRNA from 1 species